UACGGGGGGGGCAAGCGUUGUUCGGAAUUACUGGGCGUAAAGGGCGUGUAGGCGGCCAACUAAGUCCGACGUGAAAUCCCCAGGCUUAACCUGGGAACUGCGUCGGAUACUGGAUGGCUUGAAUCCGGGAGAGGGAUGCAGAAUUCCAGGUGUAGCGGUGAAAUGCGUAGAUAUCUGGUGGAAUACCGGUGGCGAAGGCGGCAUCCUGGACCGGCAUUGACGCUGAAGCGCGAAAGCUAGGGGAGCAAACGGG
rnacentral:rRNA from 1 species